CACGUAGGGCGCAAGCGUUGUCCGGAAUUAUUGGGCGUAAAGAGCUCGUAGGUGGUUUGCUGCGUCCGCUGUGAAAACCCAAGGCUUAACCUUGGGCUUGCAGUGGAUACGGGCAGACUAGAGGUAGGUAGGGGAGAAUGGAAUUCCCGGUGUAGCGGUGAAAUGCGCAGAUAUCGGGAGGAACACCGGUGGCGAAGGCGGCAUCCUGGACCGGCAUUGACGCUGAGGCGCGAAAGCCAGGGGAGCAAACGGG
rnacentral:rRNA from 1 species